rnacentral:lncRNA from 1 species
CACAUUUGAGCCAUGUUUGUUAACAGAAACACAUUUUAUACAUGAAGAAAGGCUAAACGCUGACCUUUUACAGACGGCAGCCGUACUAAGUAAGAUUUCCAGGAAACCAGCCUCAAUAGUUUUAUUUAUAAAAACAUGAUGCUAUACUCAAAGAUGUAUUGUGUAGAUAUAUUUAUAAAUAUUUCCAGGUAUGUCAUACAAUCAACUUGAUUAAGGUCAGAUGACUGUGAACAAUGUUGGUAAACAGACAUAUCUAAUGUUAUUAGAGAAUUUAACAUCAGAUAGAAGUCAUGUAAAAACUGCAUUUGCUGCUACUGCUGCUGUGAUAAUGUUGGUUAAUGAAAUGUUAUGUGAACAACUAAAGGCUUUCAGUUCACCAGCAUUAAUCACUACCACAGCUGUUGCUUUUUCUUCACUGGCGUAAGAGCUUCUUUACCAUAGUAAAUUCAAUUCAAUUCAAUUCAAUUUUAUUUAUAUAGCGCCAAAUCACAACAAGUUAUUUCAAGGCACUUUACAAAGUAAGGUUUAAAACCUCACACAACUAAACCCAACAAAUCCCACAUACAGCAAGCAUUUAAUUUGACAGCAACAGUGGAGAGGAAAAACUCCCUCUCUAACGAGGAAGAAACCUCCAGCAGAACCAGACUGGAUGUGGGCGGCCAUCUGCCUCGACCGGUUGGGGUGAGAGGAUAGAGAGAUAGAAAAGCACAGCAACAGCAACAAGCAACAACAAGCAACAACAGAGCACAGGCAGGAUGGUAGGACCAGGGACUGGAUGCAGGCAGGAUGGUUGGAUCCGCAGCUGCCCAUCACAGACACCAAACUUUGAGUCCAAUGAUACCUGUGGGUGAGGACAGAGAGGGAGAAAGAGUGGGGGUGGGGGGGAGAGAGGAGAGAAGCACAACUACUGGACAGAAAGAGACAAGGUUAGUUAAACAUGGGACAAUGAUGGGAGGUUAUGGGACAGAGGAGGUAGAAGGAAACAGGGGGGAGAAGCACAACUACUUGAGAGAAAGAGACAAGGUUAGUUAAACAUGGAAUAACAAUAGAAUUAUUGGAUAGAAGAGUUAAAAGGGACCAGAUGAGCUCACUGUAUAAAUUAAGUCCCCUAGCAGUCUAUGUCUAUUGCAGCUAAAAGAUGGUUCCUGUGAUCAAAAAUUUGUACCAAUGAAUUAUAUCUGGUGCCUUUGAGCUAUAAUCAAAAUGUAUGUCAGGCAUUUUCUUUGGUUUAUUCUAGUUCAUUCACUCUGUUCAACAUUUAAAACUCACGCAUUCACUCCUUUGCCUCCAGAUGUGGGUGUAAUUCCUUAUGCUGUGGAGCCUGGUUUGUCCAAUACUAUGAUCAUAAGGUGCAUAAACCAGCCUCUUGUGGACAUAAUCAAGACCUUUAGGUUGUUGAUAAUCCAGCAGAAGGAGCCUACACCACCAUCUACCUCACAGUC